GAUGAACGCUGGCGGCGUGCCUAAUACAUGCAAGUCGAGCGAACGGACGAGAAGCUUGCUUCUCUGAUGUUAGCGGCGGACGGGUGAGUAACACGUGGAUAACCUACCUAUAAGACUGGGAUAACUUCGGGAAACCGGAGCUAAUACCGGAUGAUAUUUUGAACCGCAUGGUUCAAAAGUGAAAGACGGUCUUGCUGUCACUUAUAGAUGGAUCCGCGCUGCAUUAGCUAGUUGGUAAGGUAACGGCUUACCAAGGCAACGAUGCAUAGCCGACCUGAGAGGGUGAUCGGCCACACUGGACCUGAGACACGGUCCAGACUCCUACGGGAGGCAGCAGUAGGGAAUCUUCCGCAAUGGGCGAAAGCCUGACGGAGCAACGCCGCGUGAGUGAUGAAGGUCUUCGGAUCGUAAAACUCUGUUAUUAGGGAAGAACAUAUGUGUAAGUAACUGUGCACAUCUUGACGGUACCUAAGCAGAAAGCCACGGCUAACUACGU
rnacentral:rRNA from 1 species